ACGGGUGCGUAACGCGUGGGAAUCUGCCCCUUGGUUCGGAAUAACAGCGAGAAAUUGCUGCUAAUACCGGAUGAUGACUUCGGUCCAAAGAUUUAUCGCCAAGGGAUGAGCCCGCGUAAGAUUAGGUAGUUGGUGGGGUAAUGGCCUACCAAGCCGACGAUCUUUAGCUGGUCUGAGAGGAUGAUCAGCCACACUGGGACUGAGACACGGCCCAGACUCCUACGGGAGGCAGCAGUGGGGAAUAUUAGACAAUGGGCGAAAGCCUGAUCCAGCAAUGCCGCGUGAGUGAUGAAGGCCUUAGGGUUGUAAAGCUCUUUUACCAGGGAUGAUAAUGACAGUACCUGGAGAAUAAGCUCCGGCUAACUCCGUGCCAGCAGCCGCGGUAAUACGGAGGGAGCUAGCGUUGUUCGGAAUUACUGGGCGUAAAGCGCACGUAGGCGGCUACUCAAGUCAGAGGUGAAAGCCCGGGGCUCAACCCCGGAACUGCCUUUGAAACUAGGUAGCUAGAAUCUUGGAGAGGUCAGUGGAAUUCCGAGUGUAGAGGUGAAAUUCGUAGA
rnacentral:rRNA from 1 species